rnacentral:rRNA from 1 species
AGUGAACGCUGGCGGUAGGCCUAACACAUGCCAGUCGAACGGCAGCACAGUAAGAGCUUGCUCUUACGGGUGGCGAGUGGCGGACGGGUGAGGAAUACAUCGGAAUCUACUUUUUCGGGGGGGAUAACGUAGGGAAACUUACGGUAAUACCGCAUACGACCUACGGUUGAAAGCAGGGGAUCUUCGGAACUUGCGCGAUAUCAUGAGCCGAGUGCGGAUUAGCUAGUUGGCGGGGUAAAGGCCCACCACGGCGACCAUCCGUAGCUGGUCUGAGAGGAUGAUCAGCCACACUGGAACUGAGACACGGUCCAGACUCCUACGGGGGGCAGCAGUGGGGAAUAUUGGACAAUGGGCGCAAGCCUGAUCCAGCCAUAUCGCGUGGGUGAAGAAGGCCUUCGGGUUGUAAAGCCCUUUUGUUGGGAAAGAAAAGCAGCAGGUUAAUACCCCGCUGUUCUGACGGUACCCAAAGAAUAAGCACCGGCUAACUUCGUG